GUCUACGGUCAUACUACCCUGAACAAGCCUGAUCCCGUCUGAUCUCAGAAGCUAAGCAGGGUUGGGCCUGGUUAGUAUUUGGAUGGGAGACCACCUAGGAAGACCAGGUGCUGUAAGUG
rnacentral:rRNA from 1 species